AGGACGAACGCUGGCGGCGUGCUUAACACAUGCAAGUCGAGCGGAAAGGCCCUUCGGGGUACUCGAGCGGCGAACGGGUGAGUAACACGUGAGCAAUCUGCCCUUAGCUUCGGGAUAGCCCCGGGAAACCGGGAUUAAUACCGAAUACGACCUCGGCCGACAUCGGCUUUGGUGGAAAGUUUUUCGGCUAGGGAUGAACUCGCGGCCUAUCAGCUUGUUGGUGGGGUAAUGGCCUACCAAGGCGACGACGGGUAGCCGGCCUGAGAGGGCGACCGGCCACACUGGGACUGAGACACGGCCCAGACUCCUACGGGAGGCAGCAGUGGGGAAUAUGCGCAAUGGGCGAAAGCCUGACGCAGCGACGCCGCGUGGGGGAUGAAGGCCUUCGGGUUGUAAACCCCUUUCAGCAGGGACGAAGCGAGAGUGACGGUACCUGCAGAAGAAGCGCCGGCUAACUACGCGCCAGCAGCCGC
rnacentral:rRNA from 1 species